GAGUUCCCUUCGGGGACAUUGGUGACAGGUGGUGCAUGGUUGUCGUCAGCUCGUGUCGUGAGAUGUUGGGUUAAGUCCCGCAACGAGCGCAACCCUUGUCUUUAGUUGCCAUCAUUAAGUUGGGCACUCUAGAGAGACUGCCAGGGAUAACCUGGAGGAAGGUGGGGAUGACGUCAAAUCAUCAUGCCCCUUAUGCUUAGGGCUACACACG
rnacentral:rRNA from 1 species